GGUUUCUGGGUUACCUUCUGCUCCGCCGUGUUCUUCAACGCCGACAACUUCUCCUGCCUUUCUGGGCUUCGUUUCUUGCUCUGCUGCACUCAUAGGCUAACAAUUUGAAAAGCUUUCUGGUUGUUGGCAUCACACUCACCAGUUCAUCUUCGGCAGUGACAUGGGAAAUUGGGUUUUCAUCAUCAGGCUUGUCCUGGGAACUGAGUUGGGUUGAUUAAAGUUGAUUUCCGAUUUCGAAGGUAUAAUCUCGAACUAGAAUCACGUUUUGUUCUUGUGUUAGUGAUUGGAAGUUAUGGAACUGAGUGGUUUGAUAUGGUGAAAUUGAAGACUCUGUUAUCGAAUUGGUUAUGUUGUCUUGUUUAUGGUGUUUUAAGUUGUUGCAAGUAAAUAUGGGAAUUGAUAUUUGAAUUGAGAUUGUGGACUGAAAUUGGCUGCACAUGUUGCUUGUGCUUACGGUGAAUCUGCAUUUAUGAGAAUGGUGAAUUGGAUUGGACUGGGUUGCUCGUAUGAAGUUGUUGAUAUGUAAUCGGGUUCUAGAAUUGCUUUUGGAACUGGGCUUGUGGUUUAAGAAUUUGCUGAUCGAUUACAGAGGAAUUGGCUAUGGCUAAAGCUCUCUAUCUUUAUAUCUCCACUGUAUUUAAAGGUUCAAACUUGAAAGCAGAGGAGGAUUGAUUCUCAGUACCCAAUCGCAUUACGAUUUUAGAAGCCAUGGAAGUGAAAAUUUGUGACAGAUGAACUC
rnacentral:lncRNA from 1 species